CACGUAGGGCGCGAGCGUUGUCCGGAAUUAUUGGGCGUAAAGAGCUCGUAGGCGGUCUGUUACGUCGGCUGUGAAAACCUGGGGCUCAACCCCGGGCCUGCAGCCGAUACGGGCAGACUAGAAUUCGGUAGGGGAGACUGGAAUUCCUGGUGUAGCGGUGAAAUGCGCAGAUAUCAGGAGGAACACCGGUGGCGAAGGCGGGUCUCUGGGCCGAUAUUGACGCUGAGGAGCGAAAGCGUGGGGAGCGAACAGG
rnacentral:rRNA from 1 species